AUUGAACGCUGGCGGCAGGCCUAACACAUGCAAGUCGAACGAGUGGCGGACGGGUGCGUAAUGUCUGGGAAACUGCCUGAUGGCUGGGGAUAACUACUGGAAACGGUAGCUAAUACCGCAUACCCUCGGAUGUGCCCAGAUGGGAUUAGCGAGUAGGUUGGGUAAAGGCUCACCUAGGCGACGAUCCCUAGCUGGUCUGAGAGGAUGACCAGCCACACUGGAACUGAGACACGGUCCAGACUCCUACGGGAGGCAGCAGUGGGGAAUAUUGCACAAUGGGCGCAAGCCUGAUGAAGCCAUGCCGCGGGUAUGAAGAAGGCCUUCGGGUUGUAAAGUAAUUUCAGCGGGGAGGCGUUACCCGCAGAAGAAGCACCGGCUAACUCCGUGCCAGCCGCCGCGGUAAUUC
rnacentral:rRNA from 1 species